rnacentral:tRNA from 1 species
GGGCGAUUAGCUCAGUGGUAGAGCGCUUCCUUCACACGGAAGAGGUCG